rnacentral:rRNA from 1 species
UACGUAGGGUGCAGGCGUUAAUCGGAAUUACUGGGCGUAAAGCGUGCGCAGGCGGCCUUUUAAGUCAGAUGUGAAAUCCCCGGGCUUAACCUGGGAACUGCGUUUGAAACUGGAAGGCUAGAGUGUGGAAGAGGGGGGUGGAAUUCCAGGUGUAGCAGUGAAAUGCGUAGAGAUCUGGGGGAACACCGAUGGCGAAGGCAGCCCCCUGGGCUGACACUGACGCUCAUGCACGAAAGCGUGGGGAGCAAACAGG